rnacentral:rRNA from 1 species
CAGGCCUAACACAUGCAAGUCGAACGGWYYWWARCGGGGAAGUUUUCGGAUGGAACCGUGAAAGGUUAGUGGCGGACGGGUGAGUAACGCGUGGGUAACCUGCCCUGUACUGGGGGACAACAGUUGGAAACGACUGCUAAUACCGCAUAAGCUCCUUUGAUGACAUCUUCGAAGGAGGAAAGGUGGCCUCUGAAAAUGCUACCGGCACAGGAUGGACCCGCGUCUGAUUAGAUAGUUGGUGAGGUAACGGCUCACCAAGUCGACGAUCAGUAGCCGGCCUGAGAGGGUGGCCGGCCACAUUGGGACUGAGACACGGCCCAGACUCCUACGGGAGGCAGCAGUGGGGAAUCUUCCGCAAUGGGCGCAAGCCUGACGGAGCAACGCCGCGUGAGUGAAGAAGGCCUUCGGGUCGUAAAGCUCUGUCUUAAGGGAAGAACAACAGUAGUGAGAAUAUUGCUAUUGUCUGACGGUACCUUAGGAGGAAGCUCCGGCUAACUACGUGCCAGCAGCCGCGGUAAUACGUAGGGAGCGAGCGUUGUCCGGAAUUACUGGGCGUAAAGGGCGUGUAGGCGGAGAUCUAAGCAGGGUGUGAAAACUAUGGGCUCAACCCGUAGCCUGCAUUCUGAACUGGAUCCCUUGAGGGCAGGAGAGGAAAGUGGAAUUCCUAGUGUAGCGGUGAAAUGCGUAGAUAUUAGGAGGAACACCAGUGGCGAAGGCGACUUUCUGGACUGUACCUGACGCUGAGGCGCGAAAGCGUGGGGAGCAAACAGGAUUAGAUACCCUGGUAGUCCACGCCGUAAACGAUGAUUACUAGGUGUGGGGGGAUUGACCCCUUCCGUGCCGCAGCUAACGCAAUAAGUAAUCCACCUGGGGAGUACGACCGCAAGGUUGAAACUCAAAGGAAUUGACGGGGGCCCGCACAAGCAGUGGAGUAUGUGGAUUAAUUCGAAGCAACGCGAAGAACCUUACCAGGUCUUGACAUCGUACGCAUAGCAUAGAGAUAUGUGAAAUCCCUUCGGGGACGUAUAGACAGGUGGUGCAUGGUUGUCGUCAGCUCGUGUCGUGAGAUGUUGGGUUAAGUCCCGCAACGAGCGCAACCCUUACUGUUAGUUGCUACGCAAGAGCACUCUAGCAGGACUGCCGUUGACAAAACGGAGGAAGGUGGGGAUGACGUCAAAUCAUCAUGCCCCUUAUGACCUGGGCCUCACACGUACUACAAUGGCUGCCAACAGAGGGAAGCGAAGCAGUGAUGCAGAGCAAAUCCCCAAAAGCAGUCUUAGUUCGGAUUGCAGGCUGAAACUCGCCUGCAUGAAGUCGGAAUUGCUAGUAAUCGCAGAUCAGCAUGCUGCGGUGAAUACGUUCCCGG